GAUGAACGCUAGCGGCAGGCUUAAUACAUGCAAGUCGUGGGGCAGCAUGAAUGUAGCAAUACAUUUGAUGGCGACCGGCAAACGGGUGCGGAACACGUACACAACCUUCCUAUAAGUGGGGAAUAGCUCAGAGAAAUUUGGAUUAAUACCCCGUAACAUAAUGAUGUGGCAUCACAUUAUUAUUAUAGCUUCGGCGCUUAUUGAUGGGUGUGCGGCUGAUUAGAUAGUUGGCGGGGUAACGGCCAACCAAGUCUACGAUCAGUAGCUGAAGUGAGAGCAUGAUCAGCCACACGGGCACUGAGACACGGGCCCGACUCCUACGGGAGGCAGCAGUAAGGAAUAUUGGUCAAUGGACGCAAGUCUGAACCAGCCAUGCCGCGUGAAGGAUUAAGGUCCUCUGGAUUGUAAACUUCUUUUAUCUGGGACGAAAAAAGGCGAUUCUUCGUCACUUGACGGUACCAGAUGAAUAAGCACCGGCUAACUCCGUGCCAGCAGCCGCCGUAAAAC
rnacentral:rRNA from 1 species